GGUUCUAUAGUGUAGUUGGUCAUCACAUCGGAUUCUGAUUCACAUCAGAAUAUUCCUUCCGGGGACCCCGGUUCGAGUCCGGGUAGGACCU